AUGGACGCAAGUCUGAUGGAGCAACGCCGCGUGAGUGAAGAAGGCUUUCGGGUCGUAAAACUCUGUUGUUGGAGAAGAAUGGUCGGCAGAGUAACUGUUGUCGGCGUGACGGUAUCCAACCAGAAAGCCACGGCUAACUACGUGCCAGCAGCCGCGGUAAUACGUAGGUGGCAAGCGUUAUCUGGAUUUAUUGGGCGUAAAGCGAGCGCAGGCGGUUUUUUAAGUCUGAUGUGAAAGCCCUCGGCUUAACCGAGGAAGUGCAUCGGAAACUGGGAAACUUGAGUGCAGAAGAGGACAGUGGAACUCCAUGUGUAGCGGUGAAAUGCGUAGAUAUAUGGAAGAACACCAGUGGCGAAGGCGGCUGUCUGGUCUGUAACUGACGCUGAGGCUCGAAAGCAUGGGUAGCGAACAGGAUUAGAUACCCUGGUAGUCCAUGCCGUAAACGAUGAAUGCUAGGUGUUGGAGGGUUUCCGCCCUUCAGUGCCGCAGCUAACGCAUUAAGCAUUCCGCCUGGGGAGUACGACCGCAAGGUUGAAACUCAAAGGAAUUGACGGGGGCCCGCACAAGCGGUGGAGCAUGUGGUUUAAUUCGAAGCAACGCGAAGAGCCUUACCAGGUCUUGACAUCUUUUGAUCACCUGAG
rnacentral:rRNA from 2 species